UUUCCUCAUAGCCAAGAGAUGGGCACGUGACCUAGGCUGGAGCACUCAGACUGUCUCCUGAGACAGGAUCUUGCAUCAUCAGAAAUGAACACUUGGAUGACACUUGUCUCCUCAGCAACUCUCAGACAAAAUAGUUGGCCAGUUUCUGUUGGUUCCAGUUCUAUUUCAAGACUGGCUCUCCAGCCUGUCUCCUCUGUGAGCUACCUGAUAACCUUUCAACAAGUUAUCCUUUUGUUUGAUUAGCUGAAGUUGGUUUCUGUUGCUUGCAACCAAGGAACCAUGAUAAAUUAUCAUCUGGUUCAUAAUUUCCAUUUCAUGAACCUCAGAUGGUGAGCAAUACUACAAAGACUUGGAUAGCAGCUGCUAAAAGAGGAGGUGGCUGGAAGCAUCUGAAAUGUAGUCCAGAAUAGUCCUGGGAGGCUAAACAGGAAAAUUGCUCUUGGCUGAGAAGAGCUGCCCUGCUGGGAAGUUAUGGAAAUUAUGAGCCCAUUUCCCCCAGGAAGAGUGGGGGCAGCUCCAGCCAAUGACUGGCUGAUAUCGGGGUACAAAAGCUGGCCCCUUGUCUCCAGCACUCACUGUGGAAGAAACCAGCAAUUAUUUGGUGAGAACAGUCAAGCAACCUUACAAAAAUAUCCAUGUGAAGAGAACCUGAGGCCUUCAAUUACAAACCCCACCAACUUGUGGGCCGUGAAUGUGAGCAAACUUGAAAGUGGAUCUUCUAGUUUCGGUCAAGGCUUUGGAUGACAGCCCCAGUUAAACUCUGU
rnacentral:lncRNA from 10 species